rnacentral:rRNA from 1 species
AGUGAACGCUGGCGGUAGGCCUAACACAUGCAAGUCGAACGGCAGCACAGUAAGAGCUUGCUCUUACGGGUGGCGAGUGGCGGACGGGUGAGGAAUAAAUCGGAAUCUACUUUUUCGUGGGGGAUAACGUAGGGAAACUUACGCUAAUACCGCAUACGACCUACGGGUGAAAGCAGGGGACCUUCGGACCUUGCGCGAUUGAAUGAGCCGAUGUCGGAUUAGCUAGUUGGCGGGGUAAAGGCCCACCAAGGCGACGAUCCGUAGCUGGUCUGAGAGGAUGAUCAGCCACACUGGAACUGAGACACGGUCCAGACUCCUACGGGAGGCAGCAGUGGGGAAUGUUGGACAAUGGGCGCAAGCCUGAUCCAGCCAUACCGCGUGGGUGAAGAAGGCCUUCGGGUUGUAAGGCCCUUUUGUUGGGAAAGAAAAGCAGCAGGUUAAUACCCCGCUGUUCUGACGGUACCCAAAGAAUAAGCACCGGCUAACUUCGUG